rnacentral:rRNA from 1 species
CCUACGGGUGGCAGCAGUGAGGAAUAUUGGUCAAUGGGCGGGAGCCUGAACCAGCCAAGCCGCGUGAGGGAAGAAGGUCCAGCGUAUUGUAAACCUCUUUUGUCAGGGAACAAAGGCGGGGACUAGUCCCCGGAUGAGGGUACCUGAAGAAAAAGCAUCGGCUAACUCCGUGCCAGCAGCCGCGGUAAUACGGAGGAUGCGAGCGUUAUCCGGAUUUAGUGGGUUUAAAGGGUGCGCAGGCGGACUGUUAAGUCAGCGGUAAAAGUCCGGGGCUCAACCCCGGCGAGCCGUUGAAACUGGGGGGCUGGAGUUGGAGAGAAGUACGCGGAAUGCGCGGUGUAGCGGUGAAAUGCUUAGAUAUCGCGCAGAACCCCGAUUGCGAAGGCAGCGUACCGGCUCCACACUGACGCUGAGGCACGAAAGCGUGGGUAUCGAACAGGAUUAGAUACCCUAGUAGUC